rnacentral:tRNA from 1 species
GGACAUUUAGCUCAGCGGUAGAGCAUCACGUUCACAUCGUGGGGGUCGCAGGUUCGAACCCUGCAAUGUCCACCA